GAUGAACGCUGGCGGCGUGCCUAAUACAUGCGAGUCGAGCGAACGGACGAGAAGCUUGCUUCUCUGAUGUUAGCGGCGGACGGGUGAGUAACACGUGGAUAACCUACCUAUAAGACUGGGAUAACUUCGGGAAACCGGAGCUAAUACCGGAUAAUAUUUUGAACCGCAUGGUUCAAAAGUAAAAGACGGUCUUGCUGUCACUUAUAGAUGGAUCCGCGCUGCAUUAGCUAGUUGGUAAGGUAACGGCUUACCAAGGCAACGAUGCAUAGCCGACCUGAGAGGGUGAUCGGCCACACUGGAACUGAGACACGGUCCAGACUACUACGGGAGGCAGCAGUAGGGAAUCUUCCGCAAUGGGCGAAAGCCUGACGGAGCAACGCCGCGUGAGUGAUGAAGGUCUUCGGACCGUAAAACUCUGUUAUUAGGGAAGAACAUAUGUGUAAGUAACUGUGCACAUCUUGACGGUACCUAAUCAGAAAGCCACGGCUAACUACGUG
rnacentral:rRNA from 1 species